rnacentral:rRNA from 1 species
UACAGAGGUCCCAAGCGUUGUUCGGAUUCACUGGGCGUAAAGGGUGCGUAGGCGGUCGGGUAAGUCUGGCGUGAAAUCUCCAAGCCUAACUUGGAAACUGUGUUGGAUACUAUCCGGCUCGAGGAAUGGAGGGGAGACUGGAAUACUUGGUGUAGCAGUGAAAUGCGUAGAUAUCAAGUGGAACACCAGUGGCGAAGGCGAGUCUCUGGACAUUUCCUGACGCUGAGGCACGAAAGCCAGGGGAGCAAACGGG